CUACAACUUACCUGUCCAAAGCACUGGAUGAUCUUUCCAGGAAAUUAAUAUCAUCAUGGCAGGCAUCAAUGGACUCCCUGCACAAAGACGUUACAGAUCUCGGCCAACGCACAGCGCAUACGGAAUCCAAAAUGGAGGAAUUUACCUCCGCACACAAUGACCUAGCAGACCAUGUGGAAGAAUUGGAGGCAAAACUAGACCG